rnacentral:rRNA from 1 species
GACGAACCGAGCGAACGUUAUUCGGAAUCACUGGGCUUAAAGGGCGCGUAGGCGGGCCGUCAAGUCAGGGGUGAAAGCCCCCAGCUCAACUGGGGAAGUGCCUCUGAUACUGGCGGCCUCGAGGGAGGUAGGGGCGUGCGGAACUUCCGGUGGAGCGGUGAAAUGCGUAGAUAUCGGAAGGAACACCGGUGGCGAAAGCGGCGCGCUGGACCUCUUCUGACGCUGAGGCGCGAAAGCCAGGGGAGCGAACGG